rnacentral:lncRNA from 1 species
AGAUAAGGAAAAACGGAAGGUAGGAGUUCUAGUGAAAAAUAAAAAUAGAUAAAAUAUGUAAAGCUCAGGGUAGUCAGCUCUACAGUGGGAGUAUAUGCAAGAUAAUAGAACACAGGGAAAAGGUAUUUACAACAGUCUGGGAACUCCUGGAAUGCUUCUGUGAAGAUGCUUUGUCUUGGCUAAGUUCUAAAAGAUGAAGAGUAGUUGCCUGGGCAACAAAGAGGGAGGAAAUCAUGGCCCGAGUAGUUGAACAAAAGAGUCAGCGAUAAGGUUUGUGGCAAGAUCAGAAAGAUAAAGCAGAGAAGAGGACCUGGGAAGUAAAAAUAAUUUCCCUGAAAAUGAGAGCAUUCUGGGGCAGUGCACAUUCUUCAGACCCUUGACCUGCAGCUGGAAGCAGCUUCAGAAACCUCACCUUGCAGCAGAGCUGCCCAGUCAGAGCCCAGAGGAACCCCCACCAAC